rnacentral:rRNA from 1 species
AAUCAACGCUGGCGGCAGGCUUAACACAUGCAAGUCGAGCGGGGGAGGUUGCUUCGGUAACUGACCUAGCGGCGGACGGGUGAGUAAUACUUAGGAAUCUGCCUAUUAAUGGGGGACAACAUCUCGAAAGGGAUGCUAAUACCGCAUACGCCCUACGGGGGAAAGCAGGGGAUCACUCGUGACCUUGCGUUAAUAGAUGAGCCUAAGUCGGAUUAGCUAGUUGGUGGGGUAAAGGCCUACCAAGGCGACGAUCUGUAGCGGGUCUGAGAGGAUGAUCCGCCACACGGGGACUGAGACACGGCCCAGACUCCUACGGGAGGCAGCAGUGGGGAAUAUUGGACAAUGGGGGGAACCCUGAUCCAGCCAUGCCGCGUGUGUGAAGAAGGCCUUAUGGUUGUAAAGCACUUUAAGCGAGGAGGAGGCUCUUUUGGUUAAUACCCAAGAUGAGUGGACGUUACUCGCAGAAUAAGCACCGGCUAACUCUGUGCCAGCCGCCGCAGUAAUAC